CAGAGCAGAGCGGAGUGAAACUUCACGAUAACCGCAAACCCUUGAGUGGAAAAGAGGCUCUGUCAACAGCAAUACAGUAUACAGGCAUAUUUACAGAAACCGCGAGGGAUAUGAAGGGACGGAUCCGUUUUCCAUUUGUACGCAUCGAUUUCCGUUGCAGUCCGCAGACGCCGGUGACGCGUGGUGCAAUAUGGCUUCUUUUGUGAACUGACUGGCGAGCCAGCUCGCAUACAUUACGGGGUUAGGGGCCAUGCGCGCUAGUACUGCAAUAAAUGAAGUGAUAUGUA